CAGUCGCCGCGGUAAUACAGAGGGUGCGAGCGUUAAUCGGAUUUACUGGGCGUAAAGCGUGCGUAGGCGGCUAAUUGAGUCGGAUGUGAAAUCCCCGAGCUUAACUUGGGAAUUGCAUUCGAUACUGGUUAGCUAGAGUGUGGGAGAGGAUGGUAGAAUUCCAGGUGUAGCGGUGAAAUGCGUAGAGAUCUGGAGGAAUACCGAUGGCGAAGGCAGCCAUCUGGCCUAACACUGACGCUGAGGCACGAAAGCGUGGGGAGCAAACAGGAUUAGAUACCCCCGUAGUCCCUGUCUCUUAUAC
rnacentral:rRNA from 1 species